rnacentral:rRNA from 1 species
UGGGGAAUAUUGGACAAUGGGCGCAAGCCUGAUCCAGCAAUGCCGCGUGUGUGAAGAAGGCCUUCGGGUUGUAAAGCACUUUUAUCAGGAGCGAAACGCUGUCGGCUAAUACCCGGCGGAACUGACGGUACCUGAGGAAUAAGCACCGGCUAACUUCGUGCCAGCAGCCGCGGUAAUACGAAGGGUGCAAGCGUUAAUCGGAAUUACUGGGCGUAAAGCGUGCGUAGGCGGUUUCUUAAGUCUGCUGUGAAAUCCCCGGGCUCAACCUGGGAAUGGCAGUGGAUACUGGGAGGCUAGAGUGUGUCAGAGGGUGGUGGAAUUCCCGGUGUAGCGGUGAAAUGCGUAGAGAUCGGGAGGAACAUCAGUGGCGAAGGCGGCCACCUGGGACAACACUGACGCUGAGGCACGAAAGCGUGGGGAGCAAACAGGAUUAGAUACCCUGGUAGUCCACGCCCUAAAGCGAUGCGAACUGGAUGUUGGUCUCAACUCGGAGAUCAGUGUCGAAGCUAACGCGUUAAGUUCGCCGCCUGGGGAGUACGGUCGCAAGACUGAAACUCAAAGGAAUCGAC